CUUUGAACUUGCAGUCCUCCUAACAGCCUCCUGAGCCACUAGGAUUACAGUUUGGACAAGACACAUCUCAGGUGCUCAAGAGCCAUUUAUCAAAAGAGAAGACCUAAUCCAUCACCUGAGAGCUGGAAGAAUUCUCAAGAAAUGCAUUACUUGUCUGCUCCUGCAACAUUUUCUUCCUUGAAGAGUUGAAGGCGGCAUAAGGGUUUAAUUUGCCAGACUUGUCCGCAGAGCCUUGGUACCACAGGAACCCACUGAAAGUUAAUACUGUAAACUUGUCAUACUUUGACUUCAAUAAAGUAAAUGUGUCACUAAGUAUCAACCAACACCAGGUUGUUCAGUAA